CACGUAGGGGGCAAGCGUUGUCCGGAUUUAUUGGGCGUAAAGAGCUCGUAGGCGGUUUCGUAAGUCGGGUGUGAAAACUCUAGGCUCAACCUAGAGACGCCACCCGAUACUGCGAUGACUAGAGUCCGGUAGGGGAGUGUGGAAUUCCUGGUGUAGCGGUGAAAUGCGCAGAUAUCAGGAGGAACACCAACGGCGAAAGGCAGCACUCUGGGCCGGAACUGACGCUGGAGGAGCGAAAAGCCGUGGGUAGCGAGCAGG
rnacentral:rRNA from 1 species